rnacentral:piRNA from 1 species
UAGCAGAAGGCACUGUCUGUGCCACAUGUA